rnacentral:misc_RNA from 1 species
GUUUCUGAAUCCUGUUCUCAAGUACCUGAAGAGGGAACUCGAUCAUCUGAUGAUGAAGUCCUCAGCUCCUCCUCAAUGGGAAAUAGGAAACUGACGCCUAGGUCUUUAAAUGCUGAUGCUGCUCAAGCUUCCAAAGUCACAGAAUCAGCCAAGAAGGUCACACAGAAGAAUACUACUGCACCUAGGUCCAGGGCAUCUCAGAACAAGAACACUGCGAAUUCAAGAUCUGUUUCAGGAACUGC